AGUGAACGCUGGCGGUAGGCCUAACACAUGCAAGUCGAACGGCAGCACAGUAAGAGCUUGCUCUUACGGGUGGCGAGUGGCGGACGGGUGAGGAAUACAUCGGAAUCUACUUUUUCGUGGGGGGUAACGUAGGGAAACUUACGCUAAUACCGCAUACGACCUACGGGUGAAAGCAGGGGAUCUUCGGACCUUGCGCGAUUGAAUGAGCCGAUGUCGGAUUAGCUAGUUGGCGGGGUAAAGGCCCACCAAGGCGACGAUCCGUAGCUGGUCUGAGAGGAUGAUCAGCCAAACUGGAACUGAGACACGGUCCAGACUACUACGGGAGGCAGCAGUGGGGAAUAUUGGACAAUGGGCGCAAGCCUGAUCCAGCCAUACCGCGUGGGUGAAGAAGGCCUUCGGGUUGUAAAGCCCUUUUGUUGGGAAAGAAAAGCAGCAGGUUAAUACCCCGCUGUUCUGACGGUACCCAAAGAAUAAGCACCGGCUAACUUCGUG
rnacentral:rRNA from 1 species